rnacentral:rRNA from 1 species
UACGGGGGGGGCAAGCGUUGUUCGGAAUUACUGGGCGUAAAGGGCUCGUAGGCGGCCAACUAAGUCGGACGUGAAAUCCCCAGGCUCAACCUGGGAACUGCGUCCGAUACUGGAUGGCUUGAAUCCGGGAGAGGGAUGCAGAAUUCCAGGUGUAGCGGUGAAAUGCGCAGAUAUCAGGAGGAACACCGGUGGCGAAGGCAGGUCUCUGGGCUGACACUGACGCUCAUGCACGAAAGCGUGGGGAGCAAACAGG